rnacentral:rRNA from 1 species
GCCCAAUGAAUAAAUUAAAUGGCUGCAGUAUAAAUAACUGUACAAAGGUAGCAUAAUCAAUUGAUUUUUAAAUGAAAUCUGGAAUAAAAGAAUUAAUGAAAUAUAUACUGUCUCAUAUAUAUAAUAUAAACUUAAAUUUUUAAUAAAAAUGUUAAAAUUUAUUUAUGGGACGAUAAGACCCUAUAGAAUUUUAUAUUAAAUUAUUUUUAUAAAUAUAAAAUAUAAAAUUUAAAUUAAUAUUUAAUUGGGAGAAUUAUUAAAUUUAAAAAAUUUUAAUUUAAAAAAACUUUAAUUAAAGAAUAUAUCUUGAUCUUUAAAUUAAAAUUAAUAGAAUAAAUUACCUUAGGGAUAACAGCGUUAUAUUUUUUUAUAGAUCACAUAGAAAAAAAUGAUUGCGACCUCGAUGUUGAAUUAAGAUAAAUUUUAAAUGUAGAAAUUUAAUAAUUAAGUCUGUUCGACUUUUAAAAUCUUACAUGAUUUGAGUUCAAAUCGACGUAAGUCAGAUUGG